AACGAACGCUGGCGGCAGGCCUAACACAUGCAAGUCGAACGCUCCGCAAGGGGAGUGGCAGACGGGUGAGUAACACGUGGGAACCUUCCCAUCGCUACGGAAUAGCUCAGGGAAACUUGGGGUAAUACCGUAUACGCCCGAAAGGGAAAGAUUUAUCGGCGAUGGAUGGGCCCGCGGCUGAUUAGCUAGUUGGUGAGGUAACGGCUCACCAAGGCGACGAUCAGUAGCUGGUCUGAGAGGACGACCAGCCACACUGGGACUGAGACACGGCCCAGACUCCUACGGGAGGCAGCAGUGGGGAAUAUUGGACAAUGGGCGCAAGCCUGAUCCAGCCAUGCCGUGUGAGUGACGAAGGUCUUCGGAUUGUAAAGCUCUUUUGGCGGGGACGAUAAUGACGGUACCCGCAGAAUAAGCCCCGGCUAACUUCGUGCCAGCAGCCGCGGU
rnacentral:rRNA from 1 species